rnacentral:lncRNA from 1 species
CCAAACUUGGGAGCGAUGAUACCUUAAUGCUCCAAUUUCCCAUUAACUUGAGAAUCGAGGCAAUCAAAGGUAUUCUCAGGAAUGCAAUUCGGCUCCCGGCGUGAUGCUAUGUCGGUAUGUCCAGCAGCGGCGCAGCGCCUCCGUCCAGUACACGCAGGUUAAAUUGUUUACUAUUUUUUGCAACAACAAGAUGAGCGAUGGUGGUGGCCGAGUGAUGGUGACGGCAUGGAGGUUUCUGCUGUGUUGUAUGGUAUGAAUCCCUCUCCUCCUUGACCUCUGCUUGGUUGCUGCUGCACCAAGAUCCUCUGCUUGUGGGUGUCAUGGUCGUGCAGCUCGGAGAAGCUCGCCAUGCGGUUCAGGGCUCGUACGCGUGCAGUCCAGCGAGCGCCAUGUCUUCCCCUCUGGUCGGUCGACCAUGGCCAUGCAGCUCAGAGAUGCUCGCCAUGCGGUUCGGAGCUCGUGCGCAUGCAGUCCGGCAAGUGCCACCUCUUCCCCUGCAGUCCGUCGACCAUGGCAUGCAACUCAGAGACACUUGCCAUGCGGUGCAGAGCUCGUGCAUGUGUAAUCUAGCUAGUGUCCGUGCAUGUGCUGUCCAGCGAGCAUCCGUGCACAACAGCGCCUCUGCCACAACAUUCAGUAGAGGAUUCCCUAGUUUGGAAAAUGCUAACUUUUGGAUUCUAAGACGAAUUAGGUCCCUUAAUUAUGAUGAUAUGUUGCUAGACCAAUUAGUGUCCAUGCACAGCAGCUUCUAAGACCAAUUUUGAAUUAACUUUUGGAAAAUGGUAAAUUUUGGAUUCUAAGGCAAUUAGUGUCUGUGCAUAUUGCUAGACCAAUUAGGUCCCUUAGUCCAAAAGUUUUGGAUUCCGUGUCUGUUGUUCUCUUGUUCAAUUUACCUUCUAAGACUACAUGUGUCCGUGCAUGGAUUAACUUUUGGAUUCUAACACUAAUUGGUCCGUGCACAACAGCUUCUAACAUUUUUCCUUCUUGUGAUGUUGCACUAGCACUAUGUAUCCCGGGACCAUAUGUAAUAUGUUCAAUACUUUCUAGUCUUUUAUUUUUCAGUAAAAGAUGGAACAUGGUUGUGGGCAUUUGCUCAUUCUUUUUUCUUAUCCCUUGCACAUUUUGUUGAAGAGCACCAAGAUCCUCUGCAUGCACCAAACGACUGACAUGCAGUUCACUGAUUGUGUUCUUUAAAAAAAUUCAAACUGCACUGCCGUCCAUUGUUCUCUUACUAUUCAGUUUAUCAUUUUUUCAGGUGAAAGACGAACAUCAAAGUACAGAAAAACGUGCACUGCAGUCUCUUGUGGCUUUAGUUUACCUUUCUUCAAGUGAAAAAUGCGCAACAUCGGCUGGCCCACAAAUGGAGUUCUGCUGGCUGGUAGUGCAGAUUUUGUGUGUAUGUAUGUGGGUGGCUGUAAAACAAUGAAUGUAUGUAUGUGUCUAUGAGCAUCAUCGGCGUCCAUAGACAAAGGCGCAAUACAAAAUGUGCGCGUGCAGUUUGCUUAGCUCGGUCAUGCAGCAUAUUGUUUUUGUUUUGUGCGGUCUGUUUGUUUGUUAAAAGAAAUCAAAGAAUGUUGGUUGGAGGUAACAUUCUUUUGAUGCAAAAUGUAAUUUUUAAAUGCAGUACACUCGUCCCAUUCAUGCAACUCACUAACAUUGACCAUGUAGUCGAGAUAAAAUUUACUUGACCAUCUGAUGCAGUGUGUUUUCAAGUGUGUUGUGGUUCAGUUAUGCCCGAUGUGAAGCACACUUACCU